AUAGAAGAAGAUGAUGGAUGUUGUUCUCUUCAGCUGUCAGUGGUCAGAAUGUUGUGGCUGAUCGGUGGAUCUGUCUGCCUUUACUCUGACAUCCAGAGUUAUACAAAAGUGUAGCAUGUGUGCUGUGCAGAAGAGAUUUACUUUGUUGUAUGCAGUUUUAGUGGUCCCAUCAGAGAAAAUCAUAUCCAUAUACAGAUUUUUAUUAAUUCCAGGGCUGGUUCAGUAAAGAUUAUAAUUAGAGGUAGACCGAUAUAUCGGCCGGCCGAUAUUUUGGGCCGAUAUAUGGACUUUUUUCAAUAUCGGCCAUCGGCUGAUAUUUACAAAUAAAAAGCCGAUUUGUGAUCAGGCACCCGUACGGGCAGCUGCCACGACCGCUUUUCCCUUAGAAGGACCCCCGGCACUCAGAGAGCGGCGCAUGAGCGGAGCGAGUGAGCCAGGCAACAACAAGCCUCGCUCCACACCUGCUUAUUUGGUAAAAAAAUACAGAUGCACAAUGAGGGACGUCUGCAGCGACUGAGAAAGAGUCUCACCACAUCCUGACAUGAGGAAAAAGACUUUAUUGAAGACUACAAUGAGAAAAACUAUCAGACAGCAGACGGCUGCAUUCAAGUCUGUAGCUGCUGAAUUCAUGGAUGAAUCAUCUGGCACUAGAGAGGAAGACCAUCAAACAUCCACGUCAGCUGAUGGAGGUCCAAGAGUCUCACCGAACAAACAAUCUACAGAGUGAAGACCUCCAAUCUGAUUGAACGGCCUCCUAUUCAGCCACAUGCUACAGGAGGAGUCCUACGAGGACGAGCUGGUCCAGCUGAUGGUGGCCAGUCGCUGCGGUUCAAAGCCAACACCGACUACGUGGACUUCUACUGGACCACAUGGAGGCCUUCAAACCGGACCAACAAGUUCAGCGACUCCCCGACUCGUGGGUCUGAGGACGCCGCCGAGCCUCGGUCCAGCUGGCCUCCUGUCUGUGGGUGUUUGAGUGCUGAGAGGUUUGUGGAUGCAUGUGAACGUUCUGUGUUGAAACAGCAGCUUUGGACUCAGUAACGCUGGUAAAAACCAAGAGCUCCUUUAUU
ensembl:lncRNA